rnacentral:rRNA from 1 species
GACGAACGCUGGCGGCGUGCCUAAUACAUGCAAGUAGAACGCUGAAGCGAGGAGCUUGCUCUUCUUGGAUGAGUUGCGAACGGGUGAGUAACGCGUAGGUAACCUGCCUGGUAGCGGGGGAUAACUAUUGGAAACGAUAGCUAAUACCGCAUAAAAUGGAUUAUCGCAUGAUAAUCAAUUGAAAGGUGCAAAUGCAUCAAUACCAGAUGGACCUGCGUUGUAUUAGCUAGUUGGUGGGGUAACGGCUCACCAAGGCGACGAUACAUAGCCGACCUGAGAGGGUGAUCGGCCACACUGGGACUGAGACACGGCCCAGACUCCUACGGGAGGCAGCAGUAGGGAAUCUUCGGCAAUGGACGGAAGUCUGACCGAGCAACGCCGCGUGAGUGAAGAAGGUUUUCGGAUCGUAAAGCUCUGUUGUAAGAGAAGAACGAGUGUGAGAGUGGAAAGUUCACACUGUGACGGUAUCUUACCAGAAAGGGACGGCUAACUACGUG